AAACCAGCACCUCAAGUGGUCAGGAGGAUUAUUGGGCCUAAAGCAUCCGUAGCCUGUUCUGUAAGUUUUCGGUUAAAUCUGUACGCUCAACGUACGGGCUGCUGGGAAUACUGCAGGGCUAGGGAGUGGGAGAGAUAGACGGUACUCGGGAGGAAGUGGUAAAAUGCUUUGAUCUCUCGAUGACCACCUGUGGCGAAGGCGGUCUAUCAGAACACGUCCGACGGUGAGGGAUGAAAGCUGGGGGAGCAAACCGGAUUAGAAACCCGAGUAGUCC
rnacentral:rRNA from 1 species